rnacentral:rRNA from 1 species
UGGGGAAUAUUGCGCAAUGGGGGAAACCCUGACGCAGCAACGCCGCGUGAAGGAUGAAGGUUUUCGGAUCGUAAACUUCUUUGACGAGGGACGAAACAAGACGGUACCUCGAAAACAAGCCACGGCUAACUACGUGCCAGCAGCCGCGGUAAUACGUAGGUGGCGAGCGUUGUCCGGAUUUACUGGGUGUAAAGGGCGUGUAGGCGGGUUGGUAAGUCAGAUGUGAAAUCCCGGGGCUUAACCCCGGAACUGCAUUUGAAACUGCCGAUCUUGAGUGGUGGAGAGGAAAGCGGAAUUCCUAGUGUAGCAGUGAAAUGCGUAGAUAUUAGGAGGAACACCAGUGGCGAAGGCGGCUUUCUGGACACUAACUGACGCUGAGGCGCGAAAGCGUGGGGAGCAAACA